GACGAACGCUGGCGGCGUGCUUAACACAUGCAAGUCGAACGGAAAGGCCCUGCUUUUGUGGGGUGCUCGAGUGGCGAACGGGUGAGUAACACGUGAGUAACCUGCCCUUGACUUUGGGAUAACUUCAGGAAACUGGGGCUACUACCGGAUAGGAGCUCCUGCUGCAUGGUGGGGGUUGGACAGUUUCGGCGGUAGGGGAUGGACUCGCGGCUUAUCAGCUUGUUGGUGGGGUAGUGGCUUACCAAGGCUUUGACGGGUAGCCGGCCUGAGAGGGUGACCGGCCACAAUGGGACUGAGAUACGGACCAGACUGCUACGGGAGGCAGCAGUGGGGAGUAUGGCACAAUGGGGGGAAGUCUGAUGAGGCAACGCCGCGAGCGGGAUGACGGCCUUGGGGUUGUAAACCGCUGUCGCUUGUGACGAAGCGGGAGUGACGGUAAUGGGUAAAGAAGCACCGGCUAACUACGUG
rnacentral:rRNA from 1 species